CCUACGGGUGGCAGCAGUGGGGGAUAUUGCACAAUGGGCGAAACCCUGAUGCAGCGACGCCGCGUGGGCGAAGAAGUAUUUCGGUUCGUAAAGCUCUAUCAUCAGGGAAGAAGAACUGACGGUACCCGAGUAAGAAGCCCCGGCUAAAUACGUGCCAGCAGCCGCGGUAAUACGUAUGGUGCAAGCGUUAUCCGGAUUUAUUGGGGGUAAAGGGAGCGCAGGUGGCACGGCAAGCAUGAUGUUAAAGCCCGAGGCCCAACCGCGGGACUGCAUUGGGAACUAGCGGGCUGGAGUGCCGGAGAGGUAGGCGGAAUUCCUAGUGUAGCGGUGAAAUGCGUAGAUAUUAGGAGGAACACCAGUGGCGAAGGCGGCCUACUGGACGGUAACUGACGCUGAGGCACGAAAGCGUGGGGAGCAAACAGGAUUAGAUACCCUAGUAGUC
rnacentral:rRNA from 1 species